rnacentral:rRNA from 1 species
AGAGUUUGAUCCUGGCUCAGAGCGAACGCUUGCGGCGUGGAUUAGGCAUGCAAGUCGAACGGGAUCCACUUGGAUCAAUUCUUCGAAGAGAACCUUGUGGUGAGAGUGGCGAACGGGUGAGGAACACGUGGGCAAUUUGCCCCUAAGUUCGGGAUAGCCUCGGGAAACCGGGAUUAAUACUGGAUGUGAUCGUCCAUCGCAUGGUGGACUAUUCAAAGGUGGGGAUCCUUCGGGACCUGCCGCUUGGGGAUGAGCCCGCGGCCCAUCAGCUUGUUGGUAGGGUAACGGCCUACCAAGGCUAUAACGGGUAGCUGGUCUGAGAGGAUGGUCAGCCACACUGGGACUGAGACACUGCCCAGACUCCUACGGGAGGCUGCAGUCGAGAAUCAUUCGCAAUGCACGAAAGUGUGACGAUGCGACGCCGCGUGGAGGAUGACGGCCUUCGGGUUGUAAACUCCUGUCAUGAGGGAACAAUGGCGUGGGUGUGAAUAGCGCUCAUGUUUGAUGGUACCUCAAAAGGAAGCCACGGCUAACUCUGUGCCAGCAGCCGCGGUAAUACAGAGGUGGCGAGCGUUGCUCGGAUUUACUGGGCGUAAAGGGUGCGUAGGCGGCGUGGUAUGUCGGAUGUGAAAUCUCACCGUUCAACGGUGAAACUGCAUUCGAAACUGCCGCGCUUGAGUCCAGGAGGGGAGAGCGGAAUUCUCGGUGUAGCGGUGAAAUGCGUAGAUAUCGAGAGGAACGCCGGUGGCGAAGGCGGCUCUCUGGACUGGUACUGACGCUGAGGCACGAAAGCUGGGGGAGCGAACAGGAUUAGAUACCCUGGUAGUCCCAGCUGUAAACGUUGUGCACUUGGUGUGGGCGGCUUUGUCCCCGUCCGUGCCGUAGCUAACGCGUUAAGUGCACCGCCUGGGGAGUACGGCCGCAAGGCUAAAACUCAAAGGAAUUGACGGGGGCCCGCGCAAGCGGUGGAGCAUGUGGCUUAAUUCGAUGCAACGCGAAGAACCUUACCUGGGCUUGACAUCCAACUGCACGCCUUGUGAAAGCAGGGAAGCCUUCGAGGGUGUUGGACAGGUGCUGCAUGGCUGUCGUCAGCUCGUGCCGUGAGGUGUUGGGUUAAGUCCCGCAACGAGCGCAACCCUUGUGACUAGUUGCCACUUGGUCAGAAAUGGCCGAAGCACUCUAGUCAGACUGCCCGUUACAAGCGGGAGGAAGGUGGGGAUGACGUCAAGUCAGUAUGGCCCUUAUGUCCAGGGCUGCACACGUGCUACAACGGACGGUACAGUGCGAAGCAAGACCGCGAGGUGGAGCAAAUCGCCAAAACCGUCCGCAGUUCGGAUUGGAGUCUGCAACUCGACUCCAUGAAGCCGGAAUCGCUAGUAAAGGCGUAUCAGCUACGACGCCUUGAAUACGUUCCCGGGCCUUGUACACACCGCCCGUCACAUC